rnacentral:sRNA from 1 species
CACAUUUGCAGGGCUCUGGGAGGCUUGUCACCUAAAUGCACAUGCUCAGGGCCCUUAAGAAGGCCAGGGUUGCCCUCUGCUGGCAGAUCAUGGUUUAGCUCAGGAGUGCGGCUUCCCCCCUCUUCCCCAGGAUCAGGGCCCUUCUCUUCCCCAGGAAUCAACCCUGCCUACCGGACUGAGGAUGCCAAUGAGGACACCAUUGGGGUCCUGGUGCGCUUGAUCACAGAGAAGAAAGAGAAUGCUGCGGCCCUGGAGGAGCUGCUGAAAGAGUACCACAGCAAACAGCUGGUGCAGACGAGCCACAGGCCUGUGUCCAAGUGAGUGGGCUGGUGGGAGAUAACGGGGCCAAAACCUACAUUAACCAGCCUGCCUCCUGGGGAUCUCCCACUUGGGUCUCCCUCCUCAAGUCACCUGUUCCCUGCUGGGGUCUCCUGCCCCUGGCCUGGCCUAUGGCCACUUCUGCCUGUGCCCCCUGCAGGCUGCCGCCAGCGCCCCCGAACGUGCCACACAUCUGCCCGCACCGCCACCAUCUCCACACCGUGCAGGGCCUGGCCUCGCUCUCUGGCCCCUGCUGCUCCCGCUGUAGCCAGAAGAAGUGGCCCGAGGUGCUGCUGUCCCCUGAGGCUGUAGCCACCACUACUCCUGUUCCCAGCCUUCUGCCUAACCCGACCAGGGUUCCCAAGGCCGGGGCCAAGGCAGGGCGUCAGGGCGAGAUCACCAUCUUGUCUGUGGGCAGGUUCCGCGUGGCUCGAAUUCCUGAGCAGCGGACAA